rnacentral:lncRNA from 1 species
GUAACACCUUGUGCUGCCUUUCAUUGGUAAUGACUUGGCUGAACUGCUGAAGGUGAGGUGAAUCUUCUCAUUUUAGUGUCAUAUUGUCAAAUCUCCUCUCAUUCACACUUACGCUAAGACUACAGCUAAGACUGAAUUAAUUGAAAAUGCUAAUAUUUUGAAUAGUCAGAAAAUUAGUCUCAUUGAAUAAUACUGAAGAAAAAAAAGAAACAUUGUAAACUCAGAGUGCUUAUUUUCAUUAUUACAGUGAUAUGUAUUGUAAAAUAUGUAUAUUUUUGUCUUUUCAUAGAGUUUGCUGAGGCGAUUCAUCAAACGGGAACUUCUCAAUGAUGCCACACCUCAGCAUUUGGUCCGGCUUGAUGUUAGUGACACGCAGUCCAGGGUUCAUCUAAGAGCUGUUGAUAUUGGCAUUGGAGCUGAGGCUGCAAUAAAGGAACGUCAGCAGCAGAGUAGAUCCACCGAGGAGCUUUCCGACCUCCAGUUCAGAAAGGAAUGCAUGGAGGGUCUGUCCAAAAUUGUGAAGAAGAUUCAAGAGAAGAGCCCUUUGAAUUUCCCAACUGUAAGACAAAUGACUUGUCUUAACCCGGCCAUGAUGUAUACAGAUCCUGAAUUGUGUCAAGGCCAGAUGAAGUGUCUAGUCAAAAGGUUUCUACAAGACAAGCAGUUGGACGGGGUUGCUACAGGUGAUCUGAUCAUUCAACAAUUUGCACAGUUCCUGUCCCUGGAGGUGAGGAAUGAGAAGUUCCUGUCCUUCAAGCCCCUGGAGAAGAGGCUGGAUGUGUUUCUCCAUCCUUACAUAAGUCAGCCCUACCCACAGCUCGGGGCUUUUCGUCAGAAACCUUCUGCUCCUCUCCCAUGGGCAGGCUACGGUGGAGAGGGGCUUUUCUGUUAACAAACAAGUCGAAUAGGAAUAGAAUAGAGAAUAGGCCUACACACCCGUGUGUGCUACAAUGCUGUUGCG